rnacentral:rRNA from 1 species
GGGGAAUUUUCCGCAAUGGGCGAAAGCCUGACGGAGCAAUACCGCGUGAGGGAGGAAGGCUCUUGGGUUGUAAACCUCUUUUCUCAGGGAAGAAAAAAAUGACGGUACCUGAGGAAUAAGCAUCGGCUAACUCCGUGCCAGCAGCCGCGGUAAUACGGAGGAUGCAAGCGUUAUCCGGAAUGAUUGGGCGUAAAGGGUCCGCAGGUGGCAUUGUAUGUCUGCUGUUAAAGAGUCUGGCUCAACCMSAUYAAAGCMGUGGAAACUACAAAGCUAGAGUAUGGUCGGGGCAGAGGGAAUUCCUGGUGUAGCGGUGAAAUGCGUAGAUAUCAGGAAGAAC